rnacentral:lncRNA from 1 species
GUAGAGAGAGGUGGGGAAAACAGCUUAGAUGGGUUCACAAAGCUCCCCGGGCUCAGCUCUGGUUCUGACACCCUCAGACACGGCCAGCUGACCCCAGAAGAAAGGAGGAUGCCCCACAACCACUUGGAGGGAGAUGCUUUGCUGAGAGUCCCUGUCCUCUGCAUCUGGAGAGCUUGGCUCAGAGCUGAGGUGGGAGGGAGGGCUCCUCUUCCAGGUCGCUCAGUUGGACACCGGAAUUGACCAGCCUGCAGGCUCACCCAUGGAGUACACACUGUGUCCUAGUCAAGCCUGAGGGGCAGUAUCCAGCCUCAACCCCCAGCAGAGGCUCCAGACAAAGGUGGGAGCCAGGCCAACAAUGACCCAGGAGGAUGGGAUCCUGGAUGCAGCUCCUCACAAGUAUUGGGCAGGUCCGAGGCCCCAGCUCUGUCUGCCCUCCUGCUCCUCUUCUCCCUCCUGGUCCUCCUGGUUCUCAUGGCUCAUGAGAUGGCGUUGAGACAGCUCCCCUGGCCUAGGGUGUCACAGAGUGAACAAAGCAGGAAGAAGGGGAAGGGAAGACCCCCUCCCGUCACCCCGUCCCUUACAG